rnacentral:rRNA from 1 species
CCACGCCGCGUGAGCGAUGAAGGUCUUCGGAUCGUAAAGCUCUGUGGGGGGAGAAGAAGAAAGUCGGUGAAGAGCCGGCCCUGACGGUAUCCCCUUAGCAAGCACCGGCUAACUCCGUGCCAGCAGCCGCGGUAAUACGGAGGGUGCAAACGUUGCUCGGAAUCAUUGGGCGUAAAGCGCGCGUAGGCGGCUGAACAAGUUGGAUGUGAAAGCCCUGGGCUCAACCUAGGAUGUGCAUUCAAAACUGUUCGGCUUGAGUCUCGGAGGGGGUCAGAGAAUUCUCGGUGUAGAGGUGAAAUUCGUAGAUAUCGGGAGGAACACCAGUGGCGAAGGCGCUGACCUGGACGAUGACUGACGCUGAGGCGCGAAAGCGUGGGGAGCAAACAGGAUUAGAUACCCUGGUAGUCCACGCCGUAAACGAUGAGUGCUAGACGCUGGCGGAUUGACCCCGUCGGUGUCGAAGCUAACGCGUUAAGCACUCCGCCUGGGGAGUACGGUCGCAAGACUAAAACUCAAAGGAAUUGACGGGGG